AUCGAACGCUGGCGGCAUGCCUAACACAUGCAAGUCGAGCGGAGCGGCGGACGGGUGCGUAAUGCCUAGGAAUUUGCCUGGUAGUGGGGGAUAACGUCCGGAAACGUGCGCUAAUACCGCAUACUUUCAGUUGAGCUUAGGUCGGAUUAGCUAGUUGGUGGGGUAAUGGCCUACCAAGGCGACGAUCCGUAACUGGUCUGAGAGGAUGAUCAGUCACACUGGAACUGAGACACGGUCCAGACUCCUACGGGAGGCAGCAGUAGGGAAUAUUGGACAAUGGGCGAAAGUCUGAUCCAGCCAUGCCGCGUGUGUGAAGAAGGUCUUCGGAUUGUAAAGCACUUUAAGUAGAGAGGCGUUACCAACAGAAUAAGCACCGGCUAACUUCGUGCCAGCAGCCGCGGUAAUUC
rnacentral:rRNA from 1 species